ACAGAAAUUACAUUGAUGAUUGUGGAUAACUCUGUGCGUAAAAAGGUAUAAAGCGGGGUUUUGCUGGGGAAUGCAGCAGUCAGUCAUUUUUCUGCAAUUUUUCUAUUGCGGCCUGCGGAGAACUCCCUAUAAUGCGCCUCCAUCGACACGGCGGAUGUGAAUCACUUCACACAAACAGCCGGUUCGGUUGAAGAGAAAAAUCCUGAAAUUCAGGGUUGACUCUGAAAGAGGAAAGCGUAAUAUACGCCACCUCGCGACAGUGAGCUGAAAGCCGCGUCGCAACUGCUCUUUAACAAUUUAUCAGACAAUCUGUGUGGGCACUCGAAGAUACGGAUUCUUAACGUCGCAAGACGAAAAAUGAAUACCAAGUCUCAAGAGUGAACACGUAAUUCAUUACGAAGUUUAAUUCUUUGAGCAUCAAACUUUUAAAUUGAAGAGUUUGAUCAUGGCUCAGAUUGACCGCUGGCGGCAGGCCUAACACAUGCAAGUCGAACGGUAACAGGAAAGCUUGCUUUUGCUGACGAGUGGCGGACGGGUGAGUAAUGUCUGGGAAACUGCCUGAUGGAGGGGGAUAACUACUGGAAACGGUAGCUAAUACCGCAUAACGUCGCAAGACCAAAGAGGGGGACCUUCGGGCCUCUUGCCAUCGGAUGUGCCCAGAUGGGAUUAGCUGUGGUGGGGUAACGGCUCACCUAGGCGACGAUCCCUAGCUGGUCUGAGAGGAUGACCAGCCACACUGGAACUGAGACACGGUCCAGACUCCUACGGGAGGCAGCAGUGGGGAAUAUUGCACAAUGGGCGCAAGCCUGAUGCAGCCAUGCCGCGUGUAUGAAGAAGGCCUUCGGGUUGUAAAGUACUUUCAGCGGGGAGGAAGGGAGUAAAGUUAAUACCUUUGCUCAUUGACGUUACCCGCAGAAGAAGCACCGGCUAACUCCGUGCCAGCAGCCGCGGUAAUACGGAGGGUGCAAGCGUUAAUCGGAAUUACUGGGCGUAAAGCGCACGCAGGCGGUUUGUUAAGUCAGAUGUGAAAUCCCCGGGCUCAACCUGGGAACUGCAUCUGAUACUGGCAAGCUUGAGUCUCGUAGAGGGGGGUAGAAUUCCAGGUGUAGCGGUGAAAUGCGUAGAGAUCUGGAGGAAUACCGGUGGCGAAGGCGGCCCCCUGGACGAAGACUGACGCUCAGGUGCGAAAGCGUGGGGAGCAAACAGGAUUAGAUACCCUGGUAGUCCACGCCGUAAACGAUGUCGACUUGGAGGUUGUGCCCUUGAGGCGUGGCUUCCGGAGCUAACGCGUUAAGUCGACCGCCUGGGGAGUACGGCCGCAAGGUUAAAACUCAAAUGAAUUGACGGGGGCCCGCACAAGCGGUGGAGCAUGUGGUUUAAUUCGAUGCAACGCGAAGAACCUUACCUG
rnacentral:rRNA from 1 species